rnacentral:rRNA from 1 species
AUUGAACGCUGGCGGCAUGCCUAACACAUGCAAGUCGAACGAAGGCUUCGGCCUUAGUGGCGCACGGGUGCGUAACGCGUGGGAAUCUGCCCUUGGGUUCGGAAUAACUCAGAGAAAUUUGAGCUAAUACCGGAUGAUGUCGCAAGACCAAAGAUUUAUCGCCCAAGGAUGAGCCCGCGUAGGAUUAGCUUGUUGGUGAGGUAAAAGCUCACCAAGGCGACGAUCCUUAGCUGGUCUGAGAGGAUGAUCAGCCACACUGGGACUGAGACACGGCCCAGACUCCUACGGGAGGAAGCAGUGGGGAAUAUUAGACAAUGGGCGAAAGCCUGAUCCAGCAAUGCCGCGUGAGUGAUGAAGGCCUUAGGGUUGUAAAGCUCUUUUACCCGGGAUGAUAAUGACAGUACCGGGAGAAUAAGCUCCGGCUAACUCCGUGCCAGCAGCCGCGGUAACAC